UACGAAGGGGGGCUAGCGUUGUUCGGAUUUACUGGGCGUAAAGCGCACGUAGGCGGAUCGAUCAGUCAGGGGUGAAAUCCCAGAGCUCAACUCUGGAACUGCCUUUGAUACUGUCGAUCUGGAGUAUGGAAGAGGUGAGUGGAAUUCCGAGUGUAGAGGUGAAAUUCGUAGAUAUUCGGAGGAACACCAGUGGCGAAGGCGGCUCACUGGUCCAUUACUGACGCUGAGGUGCGAAAGCGUGGGGAGCGAACAGG
rnacentral:rRNA from 1 species